rnacentral:rRNA from 1 species
UAUUUAAAUUUACUGCUAGGUCGAGGGKUGGGUUAUGAGCUUGCURUUAUGAAGUUAGCGGCGGACCGGUGAGAAAGCGUGRGUAACCUGCCCAUAAGACUGGGAUAACUCCUGGAAACCGGGGUUAAUACCGGAUAACAUUUUGAACCGCAUGGUUCGAAAUUGAAAGGCGGCUUCSGYUGUCACUUAUGGAUGGACCCGCGUCGCAUUAGCUAGUUGGUGAGGUAACGGCUCACCAAGGCAACGAUGCGUAKCCGACCUGAGAGGGUGWUCGGCCACWCUGGGAWUGAGACACGGCCCAGACUCYUACGG